rnacentral:rRNA from 1 species
GAUGAACGCUGGCGGCGUGCCUAAUACAUGCAAGUCGAGCGAACAGACGAGGAGCUUGCUCCUCUGACGUUAGCGGCGGACGGGUGAGUAACACGUGGAUAACCUACCUAUAAGACUGGGAUAACUUCGGGAAACCGGAGCUAAUACCGGAUAAUAUAUUGAACCGCAUGGUUCAAUAGUGAAAGACGGUUUUGCUGUCACUAUAGAUUGAUCCGCGCCGCAUUAGCUAGUUGGUAAGGUAACGGCUUACCAAGGCAACGAUGCGUAGCCGACCUGAGAGGGUGAUCGGCCACACUGGAACUGAGACACGGUCCAGACUCCUACGGGAGGCAGCAGUAGGGAAUCUUCCGUAAUGGGCGAAAGCCUGACGGAGCAACGCCGCGUGAGUGAUGAAGGUCUUCGGAUCGUAAAACUCUGUUAUUAGGGAAGAACAAAUGUGUAAGUAACUAUGCACGUCUUGACGGUACCUAAUCAGAAAGCCACGGCUAACUACGUG